rnacentral:rRNA from 1 species
AGCGAACGCUGGCGGCAGGCUUAACACAUGCAAGUCGAGCGGGCACCUUCGGGUGUCAGCGGCGGACGGGUGAGUAACGCGUGGGAACGUGCCUUCUGGUUCGGAAUAACUCAGGGAAACUUGAGCUAAUACCGGAUACGCCCUUUUGGGGAAAGGUUUACUGCCGGAAGAUCGGCCCGCGUCUGAUUAGCUAGUUGGUGGGGUAACGGCCUACCAAGGCGACGAUCAGUAGCUGGUCUGAGAGGAUGAUCAGCCACACUGGGACUGAGACACGGCCCAGACUCCUACGGGAGGCAGCAGUGGGGAAUAUUGGACAAUGGGGGCAACCCUGAUCCAGCCAUGCCGCGUGAGUGAUGAAGGCCUUAGGGUUGUAAAGCUCUUUUAUCCGGGACGAUAAUGACGGUACCGGAGGAAUAAGCCCCGGCUAACUUCGUGCCAGCCGCCGCCGUAA